CACGGCAGAGCGGGAUGGACCGGUCACAAUCUGAAUCAUUGAGGCGUGACAUCCUUCAGAGGUUUUACGAUCGACUGUCAAGCAUCUUGGAGAGGCAACCUGUUGAUGGGGAAGGGCUAUAGUUUGCUUGUCACCAUUAUUUAGUUUUAUUAGGUGCUCUAGGUGACAUUGUUGAUGUGGGAGAGGAUAUACUUUCUGCUCUUUCAGAUCUGAAUACUAUUAUCCAGCAGGAAAGGGAUAAUCAAAAGACAUUAAUAACGGUACACGUUGAAAGAGGUUCUCGUGGCCACCCACGAUUGGCGAUGUCGCGAGAGGCUCUCGAACACCUUGUGGAAAUGGGUCUGCCAACAAGUGUCAUUACCAAACUCCUUGGUGUAUCCAGAGUAACUCUAUUUAGACAGAUGUCUGAAAACAAUAUAUCUGUAUCUGCCACAUACAGUAAAUGCAGUGAUGAGGAACUAGAUUCAUUUAUCACAGUAAUUAAGAGCAACAUGCCAGAUGCUGGGUACAGGGUAGUCCGAGGUGCUCUACUUGCCCAGGGACAUAGAGUACAGUGGGACCGACUGUCUGCAUCCAUGCAUCGUGUGGACAGUGCGGGUGUACUUGCUCGAAUGACACAUCUGGGAUGUGUAGUGAGAAGGACACACAGUUCCUUGCCCAAAGUAUAUGGUGCACAUUGACACCAAUCACACGCUCAUCAGGUACAAUUUUAUUAUCUUUGAAGGAAUAGACGGCUAUUCAAGGAAGG